rnacentral:rRNA from 1 species
UGAGGAAUAUUGGUCAAUGGGCGAGAGCCUGAACCAGCCAAGUCGCGUGAAGGAAGACUGCCUUAUGGGUUGUAAACUUCUUUUAUACAGGAAUAAAAAGGCUUACGUGUAGGCCAUUGCAAGUACUGUAUGAAUAAGCAUCGGCUAACUCCGUGCCAGCAGCCGCGGUAAUACGGAGGAUGCGAGCGUUAUCCGGAUUUAUUGGGUUUAAAGGGUGCGCAGGCGGGCUUUUAAGUCAGCGGUGAAAUCUGGACGCUUAACGUCCAAACUGCCGUUGAAACUGGGAGUCUUGAGUAUGGAUGAAGUAGGCGGAAUUCGUUGUGUAGCGGUGACAUGCAUAGAUAUAACGAGGAACUCCGAUUGCGUAGGCAGCUUACUAAGCCAUAACUGACGCUCAUGCACGAAAGCGUGGGGAUCAAACAGGAUUAGAUACCCUGGUAGUCCACGCCGUAAAACGAUGAUUACUAGUUGUAUGCGAUAUGAUAGUACGUGACUAAGCGAAAGCGAUAAGUAAUCCACCUGGGGAGUACGCCGGCAACGGUGAAACUUAAAUGAAUUGAC